ensembl:snoRNA SNORD79 Small nucleolar RNA SNORD79
UGCUGUUAGUGAUGAUUUUUGAAAUAAAAAACAGAUGGGAAUCUCUCUGAAAAAAAGUGAAGAUUUUUAAAAACUGAAACAGUA